rnacentral:RNase_P_RNA from 1 species
AGCGUACGCCGCUCUGUCGCUUCAGCUUGACUGAAGAGGAAAGUCCGAGCAUCAGAGAGCAUCACACUUCCUAACGGGAAGGCAUCCUUUUUUGGAUGACAGAAAGUGCAACAGAAAGUAUACCGCCUUCGGGUAAGGGUGAAAUGGUGAGGUAAGAGCUCACCGCGUUUAUGGUGACAUAAAUGGCAUGGUAAACCUUGUGAGAUGAAAGACCAAAUAGGUCUUACUUUCCUUCGGGAGUGAAGUUGCUCGCUUCAUAGUUUUUCGAAACAAGUAAGAUGGGUAGGUCGAUGGAACCUGUGAGUGAUUGCAGGUCUAGAUAAAUGACAGGGAUCACAUCACUUUCUUUUUUAGAUAGUGAUGGAGAUACAGAACUCGGCUUAUAGGCGUACGCUUUUC